rnacentral:rRNA from 1 species
UACGGGGGGGGCAAGCGUUGUUCGGAAUUACUGGGCGUAAAGGGCGCGUAGGCGGCCUUCUAAGUCGGACGUGAAAUCCCUCGGCUUAACCGAGGAACUGCGUCCGAUACUGAAAGGCUUGAAUCCGGGAGAGGGAUGUGGAAUUCCAGGUGUAGCGGUGAAAUGCGUAGAUAUCUGGAGGAAUACCGGUGGCGAAGGCGGCAUCCUGGACCAUUACUGACGCUGAGGCGCGAAAGCUAGGGGAGCAAACGGG